rnacentral:lncRNA from 1 species
AAAGGCGCCGCGGCGGGACGGCGGGGAGUAGGCGACCGCUGCCUCCCGGAACUUUGCGGACAUCGCACCGCAGCUCCACAGCUCCGAGCCCCCGGCGCAGGAGGAGGCCGAGGCGGCGGCGGAGAGUCGGGGCAUCGCCCGGCAGUGCCUCCGCCUUGCCGGCUGCCGGCGGCUCCCGCCCCCGGUUAACCAGCGCUCGCUCUUAAAGGCGCCCGCUGCUGGUUAGGCCGCGAGGUAAGUCGGCACAUUGCUUUUGUGUGGGGGCUAAUGGAGGAGGAUCGUGAGUUCUAGGACAGCUGGAGCAACAUGCCAAGUCCCUGUCUCAAAGGAAGGAAAAGAAACCAGUUUCUACGUGUACCCAAGGUUUACAGCAUAGCGAGAUACACAUGGUAAGGCCUACAAAUGGUUCUUCAAAUUUGUAGAUAAAUUGAAAUUUCUCAGCUCUGACUACACAUUAGAAUCACCAUAUAGCUUGCUAAAAGUAGCACCUGGGACCCACCCUCAGGGAAGCCAGACAGAAAUGAAACGGAAGGUCCUCGGUGAUUCUGAUCGCCAUGACUGGGAGCCCCGGGAUGUCCACACAGCAGAGUUCGUGUAGACCUGGGUGGGAAGCAUGAUGGUAUGUGUGCUCUUUCUUCCAUACGCACAAUGAUCCUGACUGAUCUUUCUGGAUUCGCAGUGGUGCUAUAGAGCAUGGCAGGCAGGUGAUAGACUUCUAACUGCUUUCUGCUCUGCCUUGCCCCUGAAACAUUCCCAACUGUGGUGGAGACUGCAUGUGGUUUAUCUCAGUCGGCAGCACAGCCUGAUUCCUAAGUCAUACUCUCUCCUGUGCCUUUCUGCACGCGCAAUGUAUAGGCAGUCAUCAGCACACGGCAGUCUCUGGACAAGUGAGAAGGGAAGAAAACACCACCGAAGAGUUCCUCAAGAAGAGGUCUAGAAGCAAGAAGCAAGUGGUUUUGGAUCCCUGGAUAAUUAAAAAAAAAAAAUCACUCAUUAAAUUUUAGCUAUUUGGAUUCUGACAUUAGCAUGGUGUGUGUGUGUGUGUGUGUGUGUGUGUGUGUAUGUGUACUCAUAUUGCCCCUUCUAAAUAUAAUAGUGAUGUGCUUGUUGGAAAUUGUAUUAAUAUUAAUUCCUCUUAAAUGUGCAUAACGGUAUUAGUUACUUUUCUGCUGCUGUGCUAAAACACUUUAACCAGAAACAACUUAAGCAAUUUUUGGUGGUGAGGAGGGGGCUAUGGUUUCAGAGCGAGAGUCCAUGUUGCAGCAGAAAGCUGAAAGUCCACAGUCCACUUCAGAACAAGAGCAGAGAGGGCAAACUGGAAGUGGGCUAGCGCUGUAAACUCUCAAAUUCCACCCCUAGUGAUGAACUUCCUCCAGGAAGGCUGCACCUCCUAAAAUCCUAUAACCCUCCCAAACAGUACUACUAACUGGAGACACAUAUUCAAAUAUAUGAGCCUAUGAGGGACUGUGGACUUGCCCCAGCCAGCUAGGCUCAGUCUCCACUGAUCAAAGGGAAGGGCAAAUAUCUGAGUGAGGUACCCAGAGGACUCAAGAUUUUUGUGCUCAAGACUAGCACAAAGCAGCCACUUCUUACUUUCAUUAUUACAGCAAGCAAAAUAUGAGGUGAUGCUCAUAGUGUAAGCAACUACAAGUAUAGUUUGCAAUACACCUAGUGUUACAUCUUAUCAUCUCGGCCUUGUGAAGUCUUGCCCACAGAGAUGAUGAGGACGUGCCAGGAAAUUCCCUUUAUGCCCUUGCUUUCAAGUGAGCUUGUUUAUCAUAGUUUAUGCAUUUCUUUCUAAAAGGCCACCGUGUGAGAAGAACAUCCUGCCCUUGGCCCAUACAUGGUUCACAGUAAGUUCACACUGUUCUGCCAAUCACAUUGUGCCUAAUGGCUGCUGCUUUGAGAACUGUAUAAAGGCUCACCAGACAGGCUAUGAGUGGUUGUUCUUUCUCCAUGUGCAGGGCAACCCAACAUGUUGGAACAAUAAAUUCCUCUUGCUUUUUGCAUUGAUUCCCGGCUCUGUAUCAUUCACUCAGGGAGUCCCCAGUAAGCUAAGGCUCACCAGAGUUUUACAGAACCAGCCUGUGUCCAUCUUAGGCUUGAAAACCGUUUUACAAAAAGACAAACUAGAUUCAUUCCUCUUUAUGAUUAGAUGUCUGGUUUUCGGAUUGGGCUACUAUCUGUAACCUUAAUUACAAAUGUUUCCAUACUGCCUGUUCCAGGAAACAGCAACAAUGUCCUUGUUUCAGGAACUUGUUAGACCAUUUUGCAACCAUGACCAUCUUACAACCCUACCUUUGUUUCAAAGGGUUAUUAGGGCUACCUUGUAAUGACUACCUUGUUAUGUCCUGUUUCUGUAACACCACCCAUUUGUGUGCCAAAUUCUCUAUUUGGAAACUCCCCACCCCUGAGCUAUAAAAGCCUUUAUCUUCCCCAUGCCUGAUUCUGACCUUUUGAACCCCACCUUAGUGGGAGAUGGUCAUGUAAAUAAAUAAAAAAGCUUGCUU